rnacentral:rRNA from 1 species
GGGGGGGGGGGGGGGGGGGGGGGGGGGGGGGGGGGGGGGCGCGGGGGGGGGGGCGGGCUGCGCUGGAUGGGGUGCGGACGGGUGAGUAGCGCGUAGGUAACCGGCCGGGUAGCGGGGGAGAACUAUUGGAAACGAUAGCUAAUACCGCAUAAUAGUAGAUGUCGCAUGACAUUUGCUUAAACGGUGCAAUUGCAGCACUACCAGAUGGACCUGCGUUGUAUUAGCUAGUUGGUGAGGUAACGGCUCACCAAGGCAACGAUACAUAGCCGACCUGAGAGGGGGAUCGGCCACACUGGGACUGGGACACGGCCCAGACUCCUACGGGAGGCAGCAGGAGGGAAUCUUCGGCAAUGGACGGAGGUCUGACCGAGCAACGCCGCGUGAGUGAAGAAGGUUUUCGGAUCGUAAAGCUCUGUUGUAAGAGAAGAACGAGUGUGAGAGUGGAAAGUUCACACUGUGACGGUAUCUGACCAGAAAGGGACGGCUAACUACGUG